CCUGUAUGCGAAAAGAAUCACUCUUAAGUAUUUUUUCAUAAAAUAUAACUUAUACAAAAAUUUGUUCAAAAGACCAAGGGUAUUCCUAAAUCAGAGCCAAUAAUCCCAAUAUAAAUAAGAUGCUUAACUAUAUAUUAACUAAGUUCUUCUUGUCUAUAUAUCAACUAAGUUCUUCUUGUCUAUAUUUUCAUCAAUGGAUAUCCAUAAAGCAACUGCAACAAACCUGGACAUACACACAGUAUAGACAAAAGAAAAGACAAUGAAAAGACAAAGAAAAUGGAGUAAGAACCAACUACGACGACCGCAACGUGGAAUUACAUAGAGAAAUAACAUUAAAGUGAGACACCGUAUAACAACACCAUAAACAAACAAUGUCAAACAUAUGCAAUGCAUGAAGUUAGUGUCUUAUUCAAGAGGAUAUUCACAUCCACAAUUAAUAUAUCUUUCAUGCAAUGCAAUAUGCAAUUCACCAACCAAUCACCACCAAAAUUACAAUACCCGAAGGUCAAGAUCCCAGUGGGAAAGCAAUCGGGAGUACAAAUAUCCUUAACAACGUCAAGUAACAAUAUCAAUUGUUUUCCAAUUACCUCUAUCUGAGGUGCUUACAUGGUAAGCCCAGUCCGUUUCAAGAUUCCUCUCUAUCGAUCAUGAAAUGCGCAAGGGGGUGUCAGAGAUUGUUUAGUUUGCAUGUAGGAUUAUCCUGAUCAUACGGCUUGUAAGACCGGACCCUCACUAGAUUGUCCCACCUAAGCAAUCCCUCAAGGCUUCUUGACGAAUCACCAUCAUUGCCGCCCCUAUCCAAAUCCCAAUGAUAUUUCUAUCAUCGUGUCUUUCCAUUUUCUCCAACUCCAACUACAAGAAUGCAAUGUAUGCACACUAACCGAAGUUAGCUCAUUGAGUAUUUUAAUCAAGGUUUCCACUAAUUUUAAUUUCAACAAUUAUCACUUAAGUUAGUCAUCUCAGCUCCAAUGCAUCACAAUCAUGUCAAGUCCAAUAGACGAGCUCAAGACGCUAACUUAGUAUCCAAGAUCAAUGUGCAAAACCUUAAUUUCGAAAUUAUGUAUUUUCCAAAUCAAUAUAACAACUAACGUAUGUAUUUUUUCAUUAAAUACAAUAAUCAAGUUAUAUAUUUAUCACAAUACUCACAUGUAUAUAAACAUGAUUAUUUAACCACAUUUCAUGACGAUGUAAUACCAUAAGCGAGUACCUCACGUUAUGUUAUACACAAAAAUGAAUUCAUACGCAUAUAUUUCCAGCACAAUCAAAUAUCUAAGACUCUAUACAUCGUUAUGAAAAAGAUUAAGGACUCUUACAUGGAAACAAGUUUUCAUGGGAGUUCCUAAUCUAUAAGACUCUCCGACUUUUGAGGGAAUCGGAGAGGAAAACUUCAAUAAAAUACUCUAAGACCACAAUGGUCUUCUCCCUUACCUUAGACGCUUUAUCUCAUCACUGCAUAAAGAUCACGAGCAUGGCCAGAAGCAUCCACCAAGCAUCGCCACAAGGGUAUUCUCUACAUGUUGCCGCUGUCAAUGUUUGCAGAGGAGAGUGAGUUUUUCAACUCCCAACUAGUGGAAAGAUAUAUUCAUAUUUUUAUGUUAAAAGUGAGAGAUGAGAGGUGGGAGGCGCACAUAGAG
rnacentral:lncRNA from 1 species